rnacentral:misc_RNA from 1 species
CGAAAUGCGAUAAGUAAUGUGAAUUGCAGAAUUCAGUGAAUCAUCGAAUCUUUGAACGCACAUUGCGCCCGCCAGUAUUCUGGCGGGCAUGCCUGUUCGAGCGUCAUUUCAACCAUCAAGCCCCGCGCUUGUGUUGGGGACCUGCGGCUGCCGCAGGCCCUGAAAACCAGUGGCGGGCUCGCUGUCACACCGGGCGUAGUAGAUUUUAUCUCGCUCAGGGCGUGCUGCGGGUUCCGGCCGUUAAAAAGCCUUUUUUACCCAAGGUUGACCUCGGAUCAGGUAGGAAGACCCGCUGAACUUAAGC